GUGUGUGUGUGUGUGUGUGUGUGUGUGUGUGUGUGUGUUUUUGUCUACUGGACGAUGAGACGCGUUGAAGCGUGUGCGCUAGAAAUAAUGUUUAAAACAAUAUGCGUGUGGGACAGAGUUUUUUCGAUAAAUAUUUUUGGGAGCCUGCGAACUUACGCAGUUCGUUGUGUUUCAAAUGCAUGUGUGAUUAAUUAUUGUUUGUUUUGAAUUGCAUACAUUCAGCAACGAGAUGCAUCAAAUAUACAUUAUACAUAUAUGUAUGAUAGGAACAAAUUUUAGAAAAUUUUUUAGAAGGUUCGCGUGAGGCGUGUGUCUGUUUGUGCAUAAACGAGCACAGGCUCAACGGUUUUACGCUUGUGUAGGUAUAUGAUGAAGAUAAAAAAAAAAAAAGAAAACCAAAAAAAAAAAAAAAAAACCUCAUCAUUAGUGUAUAUACGCAGGUUCCCUCUGUUAUAUAUCGUAUAAAUAAUUUGACAUGUAUACUGGCGUAACGACAUAUGUAUACUGUGGUAUAUGAUUUAAAUAACAUAUAUGUAUACAUAUACAUAUGCAUAUAAAGAUGAUAUAGUAAUAAUAAUUACACGCUCCUAAAAAAAUUGUGUAUAAUAAAUAAGGAUAUAGUGAAAUUAUGUAUUUGUUGUAGAAAAUUAAUAAUAAAUUAUGAAUACCAGACGCGAUUUUAGUUUUAGCAAUUCAAUCCGCUUAUGUAUAAUUAUUCCAAACCAUACUUUUUCUCGGUACAGGUUAUUAGAUUAUAUUUUUCUUGAUUUUUGAACGGUCCAAUUUACGCAUUAUAAUAAUUAAUUACGUUAUUGUACGUAUUACGUUAAGUAGAAAAUGCUAAAACUAAGACGAACAAGGCGAGCGUUUAUUGGAUAUAGGAUUAAUUUGUUACGCAUAGUCGUUAUAAAUAUAAAAUAAUAAUAAUUAUAAUUAUUGUUGUAUAGAAAAAUGUAUGUUUGUAUAUCUAUACCUAUAUUCGUCUAUGCAUAUAUUUGUAUAAACAUAUACGUAUAGAUAUAGUGCAUAUAAUAUUCGAUUGUGUUAUACGUGUAAAUUGUUUACCAAAUUUAUCGAUUUUAAUAAUAAAAUCAGCAUUACGAGUAUAUUAUGUAAUAAUAGAGAGAGAGAGUGAGAGAGAGAGUAAAACAUUAAGAGAAUUAAAAACGAUACGGACUUGAGAAAUUUAGGAAUAAAUAGAGGUGAUUAAAAUACAAAAAGCAUCCGAAAUGCUUGAUUCGAACCUAUGUACGCAGAGUGCAAAUCCAGCAUUGCCAAUAUACCGAAAGAAAAUUGUAUAAUGUCCGACAGGGUUGACUGAUCGUGUUACAAAAGAGUAAGUUGAUUACGUUUCAUUACCCAAAGUCGUAUUAAUUCCGGAACGAAGUUGAAAAACUACAGUGGGCUGAUUUUUUUUCAUUUCAAACAAUGCGCAAUGUACUUGGAAAAUUCAUCGUCACAAGUCGCAGCUGUUGAGGUGUUUGAAUUAAUAAAUUAACCUGCUUUGUGUACGGUCCAUUCCACGCCAAAUUAGCAGCCCCGUUUACCACACAUCCUUCGAUUUUUAUGAUUUUUGAAGUGACGGUGCAGUAAAUAUUGAGAUCCCAUUAUUUAUCGUGCGGUGUUCAAAGAUCGCUCGCCAAAAUCUCAGCCCACAUCGACGAAACAAUGCAGCCAAAUAAAUCUGCUCACUAAUUACCACCCCGAUUAAUACUCAACAGUGGUAAGAAUUUUUAUUUAUUCAUUUAUUUAUUUCUUUAUCGUUAAAUUGUAAUUCGCAAUCGUGCUGCGUGACGAGAUAAGAGAGUUAAAUUGUUGAAUUAUGCGAAAAGGCACGAGACUAAAGUGAAAAUAAAUACGAUAAUAGGUUUGUAAAAUGGUGUGGAGAGACGAUUCGGAAAAUUGUACAGUAAUAGUUUUAUUUUAACACAAGUUUGAAAAGAAAGUAUGUUAUACAUGUGCGUGAUAAAAUCUAACACAACACAUGCAAUUCUGUAAUUUCUCUCUUAAUUAUUUCUACUGAAUUUUUUAAACCGAGUGAUUACUACGCUAAUGCAAUUCCGGCUUAUCUAGUUUGAUCUGAUUCUAUUCAAGCUUAACUAAAUGCACGGAUUCUAAUGAAGGAUCGUUCUUUCAACCUAAUCAUUUUUUUCCUCGACGAAAAAACGUGCGUAUUAUGUAAAUUAUACACUAUUGAAACUGUCUAUUCCUACUGUUAAUAACUCGUUAGUCUCUCUAGUAUAAAAUCCAAUCGUCGUCUAUGCGUGCAAAAUAAAUUCCAGGUGUAUUGCGGUGCUUGUCAAAUAUCAUUCGAGCUAAGAUUCUGGUAGCCAAUGAAUUGAAUUUAGUCAAAAAUUAAACGCGUUGUCACGUCUUAUCUGUAAUAUAUAUAUUAUCUUUUUUUUUAUAUAUAAAACUCGUAAUCCAAUCAAAAGACUGCGGAGAUAAAAAUAUCAUCAUAAAAUGUAAAAAUGUUUCGAAGGUACGAUUUAAGUUAACCGAGUUGAAUUCAGAUGAAACAUAUUUUCCUAAAUGGGGAAAUAAAUUGACGAAUCGAGAAUAUAUUUUUUUUUUAAUAGAUUUUCUUGUGGAGCAAUUUUUUUGCACAUACAGACGGACAAAAAGUUUUGCUACCGUAAUCUUAAUACCGAUUGGCAUACCUGGAUUGCUUUUUCUUAUUAUAUUUAUUUUUUUAAAUCUAUUUUUCAUCCACUAGACAAAUUUAUCGAAUCCAUCCCGUAGGCGUUAGAUAUAUAUAAAAAAAAAAAGUAUAUCUAUAUUGUAACGCCAUCAACGGCGAACGAAUUUAACUAGCGACGUAUAACUACUUGAUACGAAACUAUAAUUAAAGAAAGCUGCUGUUCAUUUCCAAAAAAUGAAAAUUGUAACGAAGUGAAAAAUUAAUUAAUCGAGUAACUAAUCGAUCCAAGCAAAAUAUUAGGGACAUAUAUUUUAUAAACUUGGAUAUUUCCUGCGUAAAUAUUUGGAUGCAGUUAACGAUGGUGUUUUGAAUUUACUUUUCAUUACACGCCGAAAACAAUUGACUCGUAAACGGGCAAGUAAAUUUUAAAAUAAUCAAUUUUGUUCCCGUUCCGUAUUAAUGUUAAUUCUUUUUUUACACCAAUCAUCAAACAAUUAUUAUUCAUCAAAUUGGAAUUAGACUCACAACAGUUGUAUGCAUAGGUUAUACUAUAAUAUUGUACGAUUAUAAUUCUGAAAAUCACGGAUCACCUACUAAUCACAUUAUUGUGAAGUUUCGUAUCACGUGACGACUAAUCACUAAACACGGCCAGCAUUAACAAUAUAUUCGUCAAAUUUGAAUUCUUUUCCAAGCGAGUUUGAAGAAAAUAUUGUUACCACUGCCUCCGCCUACUAAUAUCUGCAUAUCGAUCCCUCAAUGUACUGAUGACUAAGAUUUAUACUAACGUACUAAUUAACUUCUAAAAACAAAUUAGCAAUUGUAUAUCGCGAGGAUUUCGCGUCAACUCGACAACCGGAGAGAACGAUAUUUUCAAACACAUUGCACAAAAGUCUUUGACAACGCAUAGAUUCGAGAGUGAACGAUCUGGUGUGAAAUCCCCCGUAUAUGCACGCAUAUUAUAUAAUACGUAAUAUACAUAUUUAAAAAAAAAAUAUCACGCUAUAUAUAAUUGAUUACACAUGAAAAUACUCUUAACUAUUACUACGAUAUUAUUAUAUUAUUGUAGUAUCGAUACGUCGAGACAUUUGUUGUAUGAAAAAUCGACGGUUGGAAAAACCAAUUUCAUAAUUUUCAAAUUCAAACAGGACUGUUGUUCACGUUCGCUGGAGUCGUUUUAAUUUCCUGCUGAUAUAAGUAUACUCCGUUUUUGGUUGGAAUUUGCCGAAGAAUGACAGAUAAAAAUCAAGUAUCAACUUCAGGUAACCAAGGUAUGCAAGAAUACGUUUUUUAUUGUGAAAUUGAGGAGCUUGAACGAUUGUAAAGAAUUUUAAAGAAAUCAGUGAAAAGAAUUGAUAUUUCUCUGUACAGUAUAAUUCGAAGCACUUUGCGUAUUUAUAAUUUCAAAGGAAAACAAGUUGGGUAAUAAUUUGGUGAGCGAUAUAGAGAGUGGAAAAA